rnacentral:tRNA from 1 species
GGAGCUGUGGCUCAGUGGCAGAGCACUUGCCUAGCAUGUUUGAGGCCCUGGGUUCGAUUCUCAGCACCUCAU